GUAUUUCUUCAGAGCUAAUUAAAGCUCUGUUAUUGCUCGUGUUACAGUAGUCACACUCAAGGCCCAUUUGUGACCUCUUUUGCUUGGAAAAAAAAUAUGGUACGAGGCAUAGCUUAGUAAAGAACAUUAUUUUGCAGUCUUCUUUUUAUAUCUAUAAUGUUCAUCAAAUAACCCCAGUGGGUACCUUGCAUUUCAAACUUGCUUCAUUAUCAUUAUAAAAAAAUAAACCUACAGAAACUUUUAAGCCAUAAUAAUAAUAAUAAUAAUACAACAUUGCCACAGCAUUGAUCUAAAGUGUGAAGGUGUGGCAUUUAUCUGUAACAUCUGCAAAACAUCCCUGCUUUGGCUAAGAAAAAACAAAUGUAAGUGGGAUAUGCUACCAGGAAAAGAGAGAUGUGAUGGAAUUUGUGAUUUCUAGGGUACAUUUAACAUAAACCCCUUUGGUUUUCAAAGGUGCCUGUCCCUGAUGUGAUGAUGCCAAACAGUAUGCUACUGCCAGCAGCUGCCUCUGAGAAAUCAGAGCGGGACACGCCUGCAGCCGUGACAGCUGAGGGGUCUGGGAAAUAUUCAGGUGAAAAUCCAAUGGAUGACAAAAGCAUGGCAGGUCUCGAGGAUUCAAAGGCUAAUGUGG
rnacentral:sRNA from 1 species